GAUGAACGCUAGCGGCAGGCCUAACACAUGCAAGUCGAGGGGCAGCACGAUAAAGCUUGCUUUAUUGGUGGCGACCGGCGCACGGGUGCGUAACGCGUAUGCAACCUACCUUGUACUGGGGGAUAGCCCGGAGAAAUUCGGAUUAACCCCCAUAGUAUUAUUAGAUCGCAUGGUUUGAUAAUUAAAGGUUACGGUACAAGAUGGGCAUGCGUCCCAUUAGCUAGAUGGUGAGGUAACGGCUCACCAUGGCGACGAUGGGUAGGGGGCCUGAGAGGGUGGUCCCCCACACUGGUACUGAGACACGGACCAGACUCCUACGGGAGGCAGCAGUGAGGAAUAUUGGUCAAUGGGCGCAAGCCUGAACCAGCCAUGCCGCGUGCAGGAAGACGGUCCUAUAGAUUGUAAACUGCUUUUAUUGGAAUAACCUCUUACGUGUAGAGAGCUGAAGGUACCGAAAUGAAUAAGCACCGGCUAACUCCGUGCCAGCAGCCGCGGUAAU
rnacentral:rRNA from 1 species